rnacentral:rRNA from 1 species
AACGAACGCUGGCGGCAUGCCUAACACAUGCAAGUCGAACGAGACCUUCGGGUCUAGUGGCGCACGGGUGCGUAACGCGUGGGAACCUGCCCUUAGGUUCGGAAUAACUCCCCGGAAGGGGUGCUAAUACCGGAUAAUGUCUUCGGACCAAAGAUUUAUCGCCUUUGGAUGGGCCCGCGUUGGAUUAGCUAGUUGGUAGGGUAAAAGCCUACCAAGGCGACGAUCCAUAGCUGGUCUGAGAGGAUGAUCAGCCACACUGGGACUGAGACACGGCCCAGACUCCUACGGGAGGCAGCAGUGGGGAAUAGUGGACAAUGGGCGAAAGCCUGAUCCAGCAAUGCCGCGUGAGUGAUGAAGGCCUUAGGGUUGUAAAGCUCUUUUACCCGGGAUGAUAAUGACAGUACCGGGAGAAUAAGCUCCGGCUAACUCCGUG